rnacentral:rRNA from 1 species
GAUGAACGCUGGCGGCGUGCCUAAUACAUGCAAGUCGAGCGAACAGACGAGGAGCUUGCUCCUCUGACGUUAGCGGCGGACGGGUGAGUAACAUGAGGAUCACCUACCUAUAAGACUGGGAUAACUUCGGGAAACCGGAGCUAAUACCGGAUAAUAUAUUGAACCGCAUGGUUCAAUAGUGAAAGACGGUUUUGCUGUAACUUAUAGCUGGAUCCCCGCUGCAUUAGCUAGUUGGUAAGGUAACGGCUUACCAAGGCAACGAUGCGUAGCCGACCUGAGAGGGUGAUCGGCCACACGGGAACGUAGACACGCUCCAGACUCCUACGGGAGGCAGCAGUAGGGAACCUGCCGCAAUGGUCGAAAACUUGACGGAGCAACGCGGCGUGAGUGAUGGAGAUCUUCGGAUCGUAAAGCUCUGUUAUUAGGGAAGAACAGAUGUGUAAGUAACUAUGGACGUCUUGACGGUACCUGAUCAGAAAGCCACGGCUAACUACGUG